rnacentral:rRNA from 1 species
UAGGGAAUCUUCCGCAAUGGCCGCAAGUCUGACGGAGCAACGCCGCGUGAGUUAAGAAGGAUUUCGGUUCGUAAAACUCUGUUGUUAGAGAAGAACAGCGCAUAGAGUAACUGUUCUGCGUGUGACGGUAUCUAACCAGAAAGCCACGGCUAACUACGUUCCAGCAGCCGCGGUAAUACGUAGUUGGCAAGCGUUGUUCGGAUUUAUUGGGCGUAAAGCGAGCGCAGGCGGUCAAUUAAGUAUGCUGUAAAAGCCCCAGGCUCAACCGGGGAGGGUCAUUGGAAACUGGUUGACUUGAGUGCAGAAGAGGAGAGUGGAAUUACAUGUGUAGCGGUGAAAUGCGUAGAUAUAUGGAGGAUCACUAGUGGCGAAGGCUACUCUCUGGUCUGUAACUGACGCUGAGGCUCGAAAGCGUGGGUAGCAAACAGG